rnacentral:rRNA from 1 species
AUUGAACGCUGGCGGAAUGCUUUACACAUGCCAGUCGAGCGGCAGCGCGGCCUUCGGGCUGGCGGCGAGCGGCGAACGGGUGAGUAAUGCAUCGGAACAUGCCCAGUCGUGGGGGAUAACACUUCGAAAGAAGUGCUAAUACCGCAUACGUCCUGAUGGGGAAAGCGGGGGAUCGCAAGACCUCGCGCGAUUGGAGUGGCCGAUGUGAGAUUAGCUAGUUGGUGGGGUAAAGGCCUACCAAGGCGACGAUCUGUAGCUGGUCUGAGAGGAUGAUCAGCCACACUGGGAGUGAGACACGGCCCAGACUCCUACGGGAGGCAGCAGUGGGGAAUUUUGGACAAUGGGGGAAACCCUGAUCCAGCCAUACCGCGUGAGUGAAGAAGGCCUUCGGGUUGUAAAGCUCUUUAGGCAGGAACGAAACGGUGGGCUCUAACAUAGUCCGCUAAUGACGGUACCUGAAGAAGAAGCACCGGCUAACUACGUG